UCAUCCCAAAGUGGUUCGAGUUCCAAGGAAAACACAAAAUAGACACAGGAAUGUGACCAUCCAUACCGUAAGUGAAAACCAGAUACAUGAAGAGAGAUUUUUCUGCGGAGAACAUUUGCUGGAUAGUGAAAGGAAGGAGCAGUUAGAAGAAAAGUUUGAAAUAAACAGAAGAGAAGUGCUCUCCAUUUUUGAAGAAGUUCCAGCCUCAGUCAGCACUCAAGGGUGACAGUGAACAGAAUACUGACCACUACUGAGAAUAACCUGAAUUUAUUUCUGGACUCACUCCCUACCAAAUAGGUUAGGGACCCCUAAACUGAUAUGUAUCCAAGAGCCAUGUGGACUUAUGAAG